rnacentral:lncRNA from 1 species
UCGUAGACGAAGCUAUGGUUAUUCAAGAGGGAAACUCGUGUUGGAUCCAUGGGCUAGUAAAGCAUUUCAAUUAUCUUUUGAGGGUCCGAGGAUUGAUCCACCAGCAUGGAGUAUGCUUCUUCAUGAUAGUGUCUAGAAUGUUUAAUCUAUCGGCUGAUAAUUCUCUCCCUCUCCUCCUUAUGGCUAAACCAGCUUUGCAAUACGGUCUUCCUCUCAGCGGGC